CAUCAUGAGAUAGUUCGGUCCAUAUCCGGUGCGGGCGUUAGAGCAUUGAGAGGACCUUUCCCUAGUACGAGAGGACCGGGAAGGAUGCACCUCUGGUGUACCAGUUAUCGUGCUCAUGGUAGACGCUGGGUAGCCAAGUGCAGAGUGGAUAACUACUGAAAUCAUAUAAGUAGAAAUCCCACCCCAAGAUGAGUGCUCUCCUAUUCUUACUUCUCUGAGAGCCCUAGUCGU
rfam:Picea glauca, whole genome shotgun sequence.